CUGCAGGCGUCCAUGUCGCGCCUGUUCAAAUGUGAUAAAGAGACAAAAGGAGAGGAAAACUCUGGAACUAAGGCGCCGCUGUGGAUUAGCUCAGAAGGGGUCCAGUGGCAAAAAAAAAGUUCUCACUUUUUUUUGUGAUGUGCGCUCCUGGGAGUGCAAAAGCAAUUGUGUAUUGGAUCAUGGUCGAUUUUAAGUCAAGGAUUUCUAGUCCUGGGAACCUCACAUCUAGAACCCCACAUGUAGCGGAGCUCUUGAUUAAACGAAUCCUUGUUGCUUGGUUGGUCCCUUUGCAAGUGUUGUUUUUCCUCCUCAAACCCAAAGUCGGAGAUCUUAAAUGACGUACCAAACAAAGACGUUAGAAAAUACAGCUUCCAACAUGUGUAGGAACUGAAAACAAAGAGCUGAAAUGAAACCCAUCAUUUGGUGUA